UACGGAGGAUCCAAGCGUUAUCCGGAUUUAUUGGGUUUAAAGGGUGCGUAGGUGGCCUGGUAAGUCAGGGGUGAAAGACGGUAGCUUAACUAUCGCAGUGCCUUUGAUACUGCCGGGCUUGAAUAAACUAGAGGUAGGCGGAAUGUGACAAGUAGCGGUGAAAUGCAUAGAUAUGUCACAGAACACCGAUUGCGAAGGCAGCUUACUAUGGUUUUAAUGACACUGAGGCACGAAAGCGUGGGGAUCAAACAGG
rnacentral:rRNA from 1 species